UGUCCCUGAAUUGGUAAUUUUAAGGAAAUUUUGCCGUUUUUGGUUAUUAUCUUGAAUAUUAUUAUAGAUAGAGAUAAACUGUAAACAGCAAUAAUGUUCAGCAAAGUAAGAUCUACAAAUAAGUCAACUUGACCAAAAUGGUCAGUUGACCCCUUAAGGAGUUAUUGCCCUUUAUAAUCAAUUUUUAACCAUUUUUUGUAAAUUUUUGUAAUCUUUUACAAAAAUCUUCUCCUCUGAAACUACUUGGCCAAAUUUAACCAAACUUGGCCACAAUCAUCAUUAGGGUAUCUAGUUUAAAAAAUGUGUCCGGUGACCCGGCCAACCAACCAAGAUGGCCGCCAUGGCUAAAAAUAGAACAUAGGGGUAAAAUGUAGAUUUUGGCUUAUAUCUCUGAAACCAAAGCAUUUAGAGCAAAUCUGACGAGGAUAAAAUUGUUCAUGAGGUCAAGAUCUAUCUGCCCUGAAAUUUUCAGAUGAAUCGGACAACCCGUUGUUGGGUUGCUGCCCCUGAAUUGGUAAUUUUAAGGAAAUUUUGCCGUUUUUGGUUAUUAUCUUGAAUAUUAUUAUAGGUAGAGAUAAACUGUAAACAGCAAUAAUGUUCAGCAAAGUAAGAUCUACAAAUAAGUCAACAUGACCAAAAUUGUCAGUUGACCCCUUAAGGAGUUAUUGCCCUUUAUAGUCAAUUUUUAACCAUUUUUAGUAAAUUUUUGUAAUUUUUUACAAAAAUCUUCUCCUCUGAAGCUACUAAGACAAAUUUAACCAAACUUGUCCACAAUCAUCAUUAGGGUAUCUAGUUUAAAAAAUGUGUCCGAUGACCCUGCAUGCGAACCAAGAUGGCUGACAUGGCUAAAAAAUAGUACAUAGGGUAAAAUGCAGUUUUUGGCUCAUAUCUCUGAAACCAAAGCAUUUAGAGCAAAUCUGAUGAGAAUAAAAUUGUUCAUUAGGUCAAGAUCUAUCUGCCCUGAAAUUUUUAGACCAAUCAGGCAACACGUUGUUGGGUUGCUGCCCCUGAAUUGGUAAUUUUAAGGAAAUUUUGCCGCUUUUGGUUAUUAUCUUGAAUAUUAUUAUAGAUAGAGAUAAACUGUAAACAGCAAUAAUGUACAGCAAAGUUAGAUCUACAAAUAAGGCAACAUGACCAAAAUUGUCAAUUGACCCCUUAAGGAGUUAUUGCCCUUUAUAGUCAAUUUUUUACAAUUUUCGUAAAUUUUGUAAAUUUUUGUAAAUUUUUACAAAGUAUUUUCCACUGUAAUUACCGGGCCAAGUUCAUUAUAGAUAGAGAUAGUAGUAAGGAGCAAGAAUGUUCAGUAAAGUAAGAUCUACAAACACAUCACCAUCACCAAAACACAAUUUUGUCAUGAAUCCAUCUGUGUCCUUUGUUUAAUAUGCACAUAGACCAAGGUGAGCGACACAGGCUCUUUAGAGCCUCUAGUUUUGUUCAUUUAUAAGGAAAAAAAUUCUCAUUUUCAACUUGGAAACAGUUUAAUCCUUUACUUUAUUGUAAUGGAAAAUGAACUAUUUUCAACUUGGAAAAAGUUUAUUCUUUUACCUGUCAAAAUUUAGAUUGAUUGCUGUUUGCCUAAUGUCCAGUGGCAAAUAUUUCUGGCAUGUUCAAGACCAGUAUAUUUUAAGAAAUACCCAUUCAAUUCAGUUUUUAAUAGAACGAUUGCAAUAAUUAAUUAAAAUUUCACUGCAUUUUUUUUUAUUUUUACUUUUCAUUUUGACAUUGUUGGUUCCCCAAUAGUCACUAUACAAAAAUUGUUUCAAUAAUUUCUAAAAUUACAUCAUUUUUAACAUCAGUAUCAUUUUUCAAAUGCACGCUAGUAAAUAAGUGCCUACUGUUGGUGUCAUAUAAACGUUAAAACAAAACCAUAUUUUUAUUUUUAUUUGUUUUGUUACUCUUCAUUAAUUAAGUUUCGUACUAAAAUUGUACACUGGUGCUAUUUUAUGACCAUAUAGCUUAAGUAUGUUGUUAUGAUUAUUUUUUAUUAAUUCAUUUUUUAAAUCAAAUAUUUGUUUAUGUUUUUACAAUCUAAUUGAAAUUAAAUCUCUGCACUCGUUCAUUUUUUCCACACAGCAACCAAGCAUAAAAAAUAUGAGCGAGUGCUGAGAUUUAAUUUUAAUUAAAUUGAUGUUUUUUAUCACUUUAUGUUCUUUUCAUUUAAGAUGCAGACAUGAUGCACAGAGCAUUGCUUAUGCUUUAAAUGACAAACUCUCUUUCUUGACAAAAUUUUGAUACAUAAAUGUUGAAAUUUUUUUUUUUUUAAUAUUAAAUUUCCAACAACAUUGUGUACAACCAAAGAAUUACUUCCUUUUAUUAUGUUUCCUUACUGUUAAAGAAUUCGUUAAAAUAUCAUAACAAAUAUUACAAACAGAUUUUUAAUCCUCAGUUUUUUUCAAGAGUUGACUAAUUUAAAUGCAUGCAUUGAGGUAAUCAUUGCUGUAUAUUCUGUUUUCUUUUGAUAAACAACAUGAAAUAGUAAUCAUUAAUGAAUUCACAAUUUCAGAAUCAUCAAGUGCAUUCUGGGAAAUGUUCAAUGCAUACACCAAAAUGUUUUUUUUUGCUAAUAAUAUCCUCAAGAGUUAAACCGACACAUUGAUGUGAAAUUAUUUUCUUUUUGGGUUCAAAUAAAGUAAUUACCCAGAGUCCUUUAGUGAAUUGCAACAUACAUUGCAAGCUGCUUUUUCAGUCUUUAAAAGCAAUCUUUGAAAAAAAAGACCUUAGAAGAUCAUAAUCACAAAUUACGAAAAAGAAAGGAAAAUUCAAACUAAAAGACAAGAUGACUAUUAUGAGUGACAGCUAUGUAUGAAUAUCCAAGUUGUAAAAUUCUUUAAAAACAAAUGAUGUAAAUACUACUUCAGAAAAAGAAUUUACGCAGCUUUCAUGCAUGAUUUAUCAGUUUCCUGGUUGAAUAUCAUCUUCAAUGUCAGUUUCAGUUUUAUAUAAUGUAGGUCUACAAAGCCCUCUGUGUUCAUAUAUACUUAUUAUAGAAGAGGUGAAGAAAGAGAUUUUUAUCUAUAGUUUGAAUUCCAUCCUUAUUUUUCUUGUAAAAGGGCAAAGCAAAGAUGCAUAAUAAAAGGCAAUGUUAUAGUUCAAUUUUUUUCAUUUAAUAUUGUUUAUAGGAUUUUUGUGUAAAUGUUGUCAAAACAAAACCACUUUAUAUCUUGCUGAAGGAUGUAUUGUAAUCUACCUAUUUUAUCGUUGAAGGCCCUCAUGCCUUCAAGAUUAAAAAAAAAUAUAAAAAAAAAACAGUUUCUUUUGGUUAUUAUCCAAUUAUUCCUUGGGAAUUUUCUCACUUAAACUAUUGAAAUUUUUGUAUUUUAAAUAUAAAUUUAAGGCCUAUCUUCAAUCUUUUCUGUUCUUUUGUUAAAAUAUGUUUUAGCUGCUGUCCCCCAUACACAUAAUUGCAAUAAAUAUGCUUACUUAUGAAAGAAAUAUCUUAUAAUAACGAGGUUAUGUAAACCUUUUAAUCUAUUAUUUACAAUGUCUAUUUUUACCAUUACUAUGUCACAUUGGUGCUUUUGUUCAGUGUUGUUUAUUUUUUAUAAUUUGUUGUGUAUAAGUUUUAGUUAUAGAAUAAAGAAGUUGUCAGUUUCAA